rnacentral:lncRNA from 1 species
AUGUGUGAAGAAGAUUAUGACAUGGAUAUAGCCAAUGUUCAUGUUCUGAGGAGGACAAGAACUGAAGUCAAGAAAGCUGGGGUGGAGAGAAGUUUUGAGCAGUGGGCAAAAUCCAACGACUUUGUGGAUUCCUACUCUGUUGGCCUGAGGAUGCCGGCUGUGGUGGCUGGGGCGCUUCCAGCUCCAGUGGGCUCUCUUCUGAGUUUAUCAACUGCUCAAGGUGAAUCCAACGUCCUGCGUGAAACUGGUCCCAAGUGGGAUGAGCUGGGAAGGCUCACAUGGUACUGUGUCUACCCCAGGAGGAGCAGAGGCUAGAGCUGAGCUGGAAGGAGGACCUUGUGAAGCUGGCAAUUAUUCAGCAUUUAUAAAUUGAAGAUAAUUCCAUUUCCUGAUGACUCCUGGCAGCUCAGGUUUUGGGGUAAAAGAACUCUCAUCCCAGUCUGCUGUUUGCAGAGGAAAUAACUAAAAUGCCUCUAUUUCUCAGCUAUGGACUUCCAAGGUCUGAUUCUUUCCAAAUAGAUUUCUGUGUAUUAAAUCCUUUAAUAAUGGCAAUAGUCUCCUAUAGAUUUUAAACCCAAAGGACAAUUUCUCAAGGCACAUUUCAAGUUACAAAUUGUAGACAGCUGUCGGUCAAAGCCACUGGAUUGUGGGGCAGUGUGGUUUUCUCCCUGGAGACCAUUCCUUUCUGUCUUUCCUUUGACCUAGGGUGAUGUUGGAAUUGGAGUCAAAGUUAGGGCUGAGUGCAGUGCAGGAUAGAUUGGAGGUAGAGUUAAUGUUUGAGUUAUUUAGUGUCAGCAUGGGGCUAGAUGAGUCUUGGGCUGGAAUCCAGUUGUGGUGUUAACAAAGAGGGUAAGAGUCGGGUAGGGUUUGGGUUAGCUUGUGGUUUGUUGUUGGUAUUUGGAUUAGCGGUGGGUCAGCUGCUUUGCUGAGCUCUGGGAAGCUCGUUGGUGGGGCCCUCAGUCUGAGAGUUGUGCCACACCUGAUUUUGUAUGCUUUCUGGGACCAAACCCUUGGUCCUGCUAUGAAAUUUUGGGCUGAAUAAGAUAAGGCCUCCCCCUCCCCCAUCUCCCAGGAGUGUUUGGCGUUGAGAUGUCACAUAUGAGCUCCAUGAUAGCCUCCUGGGAAGCUUAGUAAGACUCAGUGUUGGGGUUUAUCUCUUCUGCCUCCUGUGGAGGCAAGACAGCAGGAAGAGGCAGUGGGCCCUGGUGUUUGUCUAUCUUCUUAUACUGCUGGGCAGUUGGGACAGGACUAUGAAACUCAGGCUCAGGACCUGAGGCACAGAGUCAGUUGCUUGUUCGGUGGGUGCCUGCAACCAGAAACACAUCCUAUUUAGUCUUAUAC